UUAUGGGCCAUUUUCUGUAGAUGCAUGACACACACACACACACACAGACACACACACACACACACACACACACACACACACACACACACACACACACACACAUAAUUAGGUCUAUUUCAGGUAUAGUUUGUAACCCUAUAUAAGGGGUACCUAUAUAAUGCACCGUAUAAAACAUCUCAUUCUGGGUUAUUUCUCUAUAACAUACAUCGUAAUAAUGUUAAUGCUUUUAUGUGAGGUCAGUAAUAUUUCACUGUUCUGUUGUGUAGGUGUUGUUCAUUCUUCUGUUGUGUAGAUGUUCACCCUCCUGUUGUGUAGAAGCUGUUCACUGUUCUGUAGAUGGUGUUCAGUUGUGUAGGUGUUGUUCACUCUCCUGUUGUGUAGAUGUUGUUCACUCUCCUGUUGUGUAGAUGUUGUUCACUCUCCUCCUAGUAUGUUGUUCACUCUUCUGUUGUGUAGAUGUUGUCACUCUUCUGUUGUGUAGAUGUUGU
ensembl:lncRNA